rnacentral:lncRNA from 1 species
CUGGACAUAAUAGAGUUUGAAUUUCGCUUAAAGUGUUGUUUUUCCAAGUGAAAUAAAUUGUUUUGAUAUCUCUCAUAUUGUCUAGGUCUAACUAAUCUGACCAAUAUAACAUGUGGCCUUGGUCUUAGCAUUAAAUUUAGAAGGACAGGAUAAGGAUACCAGUGGGAAAUUCGAAGAGCUUCCUGAAUAAAGACGAAUGAAGAAUUGCAGAUGGCAUUUCCUGUAUUCAUCACACAUUUCUGUAUUUUUAAAAUGUUUUUAUUCUAGUAUUUACAUAAAAUAUAUGACAGGCAGGAAAGUUAAAAUCAUUUAUAGAUAGCAGAAACAUUCUGUAAACGUUUUAACAUGUAUUAUAUAUACAUAUAUGUGUAUAUAUACAUUAUAAAUACAUAUAUAUUAAUCCUCUAGCAAAAAAAAAACAUUGAGGCAGACUCAGGGCUGCUGGAAGCUCUGAAGGGAAUCCAGACAGAGAAAUGCUCAAUUAAGGGCGGCAAUCGUGAAUACUGGAUGAAAAGAGGAAUAAAAAGACAUUCUGCAAUGUUAUGGGCAGAGCCAGAAUUUGAUGAAUGUUUUCUGAAUUACGGAAUGAGCAAGUGUCAGAACAGCGAUGGUUGGGGUUCUGGAUUAUAAGGUGCUUUCUUAGUUAUCCGCUUGCUCUGAAGAAUAUGCAAUGUGUAUGACAUGACAAAGGGUAGCACAAGCAUUUAAAUCAAAGGUAUGCAAACUAUGGCCCCUAAGAGGCAGUUGACAAGUGAUUAGUUUCCUACUGCUGGCAAAACAAAUCACCACAAACUCAAACCAAUUACUGACACAAGACGACACUAUAUCAGUUACUUUGUGGUUUAGAGGUGGAGAGGAGGGUAGCUAUGUGUGUGCAAGUACAUAAAUAUGUAUCUAUUUUUUAAGCUUGAUUGAUCAUACUUCACUACAUAGUUUUAGAGGUAGAAAAGAAGUACUAAGAUAAGAACAAGCUAAAUAUCUUUCCAGGAAGGGGAGCAAAUAACGAACUGAGGCAGGAGAAUCGCUUGAACUUGGGAGGCAGAGGUUGCAGUGAGCCGAGAUCGCACGACUGCACUCCAGCCUGGGUGACAGAGUGAGACUCCGUGUCCAAAAAAAAAAAAAAAAAAGAAAGAAAA